rnacentral:rRNA from 1 species
GAUGAACGCUAGCGACAGGCUUAACACAUGCAAGUCGAGGGGAAACGAUAUUGAAAGCUUGCUUUCUUUAGGCGUCGACCGGCGAAUGGGUGAGUAACGCGUAUCCAACCUGCCCCUGAGUAAGGGAUAGCCCAUCGAAAGAUGGAUUAAUACCUUAUGGUCUCCUUUGCAGACAUCUAAUUAGGAGUAAAGAUUUAUCGCUGAGGGAUGGGGAUGCGUCUGAUUAGCUUGUUGGCGGGGUAACGGCCCACCAAGCCGACGAUCAGUAGGGGUUCUGAGAGGAAGGUCCCCCACAUUGGAACUGAGACACGGUCCAAACUCCUACGGGAGGCAGCAGUGAGGAAUAUUGGUCAAUGGACGAGAGUCUGAACCAGCCAAGUCGCGUGAAGGAUGAAGGUUCUAUGGAUUGUAAACUUCUUUUGUCCGAGGGUAAAGUGAGUCACGUGUGGCCUAUUGCAAGUAUCGGACGAAUAAGCAUCGGCUAACUCCGUGCCAGCCGCCGCGGUAAAAC